rnacentral:rRNA from 1 species
UUUGGAGUUGCUGUGGUUAUCACGAAUCAGGUAGUGGCACAAGUGGAUGGCUCUGCCAUGUUUGCGGGGCCACAGGUGAAGCCUAUCGGUGGGAACAUCAUGGCACAUGCUUCCACAACCAAGCUUGCUCUUCGCAAGGGAAGAGGCGAAGAGCAAAUAUGUAAAGUAAUCAGCUCCCCUUGCCUAGCUUAAGCCGAAGCAAGGUUCCAGUUAUCAUCCGAAGGCAUUUCAGAUGUCAAGGACUGA